rnacentral:tRNA from 1 species
GACCUUGUAGCUCAGCUGGUAGCGCGUGACCUGUAUAAAAGCGUAUGCGGCGUCCAUGUGUGGGUUCGAAUCCCACCGAGGCUA